rnacentral:rRNA from 1 species
ACUAUCAGCUUGUUGGUGGGGUAACGGCCUACCAAGGCUACGACGGUUAACCGAUGUGAGAGCAUGAUCGGUCACAAGGGAACUGAGACACGGUCCAUACACCUACGGGUGGCAGCAACCGGGAAUUUUGCGCAAUGGGCGAAAGCCUGACGCAGCGACACCGCGUGUGGGAUGAAGCUUUUCGGAGUGUAAACCACUGUGGCGAGGGAGAAAUUUUGAUAGUACCUCGCUAGAAAGCACCAGCUAACUACGUGCCAGAAGCUUCGGUAAUACGUAGGGUGCGAGCGUUAUCCGGAUUUAUUGGGCGUAAAGGGUCCGUCGGUGUUUUGGUACGUUUUUUGUUCAAGCCCGGGGCUCAACUCCGGAAAAGCAAGGAAAACGGCCAGAAUUGAGUCUGUUCGAGGAAGCUGGAAUUCUUGGUGGAGGGGUGAAAUCCGUAGAUAUCAAGAGGAACACCAUGCGCGAAGGCGAGCUUCUAGGACAGUACUGACACUCAGGGACGAAAGCUUGGGGAUCAAAGCGGAUUAGAGACCCGCGUAGUCCAAGCAGUAAAUGUUGCCCGCUAAUUCCUCGCUCUUUUAGAGUGGGGGAUGUAAGCUAACGCGUUAAGCGGGCCGCCUGGGGAGUACGGCCGCAAGGCUAAAACUCAAAGGAAUUGACGGGGGAGCGCACAACCGGUGGAGCAUGUGGUUUAAUUCGAUACAAAGCGAAAAACCUUACCCAGGUUUAAUAUAUCUGCAAAUCUUAGGAAACUAAGAUCUUCUUCGAGAGUGAUAUACAGCUGUUGCAUGGCUGUCGUCAGCUCGUGUCGUGAGACGUCCACUUAAGUGUGGUAACGAGCGCAACCCUUACCCUAUGUUAUCUUUGUCAUAGGGGACUGCCCCCGCUUUGCGGGGGAGGAAGGAGAGGACGACGUCAAGUCAGCACGUCCCUUACAUCUGGGGCUACACACAUCCUACAAUGGAGCCGACAACAGGUCGCGACGGGGUAACCCUGAGCUAAUCCUUAGAAACGGCCCCUCAGUUCAGAUUGCGGGCUGAAAUUCGCCCGCAUGAAGUUGGAAUCGGUAGUAAUCGCAAAUCAUCAGGUUGCGGUGA